rnacentral:rRNA from 1 species
GUGUUGUAAGUGUCUAAGGGCGCACGGUGGAUGCCUUGGCGCAAGGAGCCGAUGAAGGACGUGGGAGGCUGCGAUAUGCCUCGGGGAGCUGUCAACCGAGCU